CGGCAGUCAUUAAGACUGACGCCAUAGAGAGGACUAAGGUAGCGGUUUUAAAGAAACCGCCACUUAGAAAACCAAAACAAGAUAAAAAAUAAACAGGUGACGGUCUUUGUAUCCGGUUUAUCAGUUUGAACUGGAGUUGAGCCAGUCUAUACCCCUUUGUAUUCGAAUUAGACAUUGACAUCAAGCAAAAUGCCAAAAACAUUUGGAAAAGAUGAACUCUUCCCGCGUUUGUUAUACUCCUUCGUGCAUGUUUGACAAGACUGAAGUUUUUUGGGAGAGGAAUUCAAGAGAUGAGAGCCAAAACCUCUUUACAAGGAAUCCAAGAGAUUGUUAAGUCAAAAGUGUUUUGCCAAAGAAGGGAACAAGACCUCUGCUACUUCCCGCAUUCGUGAAAGCUUCAAACUAUCGUUUUUCAUUUGAGAACGAAUGAGAAAUUGACAACAUACUAGCAUCACUCGCUUGAGAAGGUUUCAUUUUUGUGUGAAUCAACUGAUUAAGAGAGGAGAAGAUUUGUUUCCUUCGAUUGAGAAAACUCCAGCAUCAUCCUUACAUUUGUUCAUUGUUCGACCAAGAGAAGAAAUGAAGAGCUGGAAACUGCACUCAUGGAGAUGGUCAAGCAGGAUAACCUUCGGCAAUUGAAUGCAAGGGUAGAACAGUUGGAACAAGAGGUAGCAGAGCUAUGAUAGGCCCUAUCAGAUAAACAGUAACAAGAGUGUAUGCUUCAGGUUUCAUUUCUUCUGAGUUUUAUCUUUCAUCUAUUUGGUGAAGAUGGUUGUGACAGUCGUGUGAAGCCACUAGUGCAAGAUGUGAUAGUCCAUGAGGUUGCAUUUGUUUAUAUGUACUCUACAUUAAUAACCUUUUUUGGUUUAAGGAUCACUACAAGAAAAACGGUCUAAGCCGGCAGUCCUAGGUCAAGACCGCCGCCUUAGACAUAAGGCUGCGAUUCAACGUUCACCACCUCGUCCACCAUUGUCUUAAGGUAAGACCGCCGGCUUAGUUAGACAAGACUGCCACCACCUUUGGUGGCCGGUCUGAAGCGGUUCGAACAUCACUGAGUCAGUGGUUUGUCAGAA